UGGAUUCUGCAACAAUGAAACCAACCCAUAAAGCAGAUGACGAUGUCAUCAUUUUAGAAGAAUACCAGUCUGUAGAAUGUGGAGGUGAAGCAGAUAAGCCUAAUCAGGAGGUGCCAAAAAGAGAAACUCGCCACCCCGCGAAAAAGACUGAAGCAGCUGCUGGAUGCAGCACGACUUUUGA